GACAGAGGUGGCGAGCGUUGUUCGGAAUUACUGGGCUUAAAGGGCGAGUAGGCGGUGGGGCAAGUCUGAGGUGGAAUCCUACGGCUUAACCGUAGAACUGCCUUAGAAACUGUUUUACUUGAGUCAGUGAGGGGAGGGCGGAAUUCCCGGUGUAGCGGUGAAAUGCGUAGAUAUCGGGAGGAAGGCCUGUGGCGAAAGUGGCCCUCUGGCACUGUACUGACGCUGAGGCGCGAAAGCGUGGGGAGCAAACAGG
rnacentral:rRNA from 1 species